UGUAUUCGCAAUGCUUUCAUGG
rnacentral:siRNA from 1 species